rnacentral:rRNA from 1 species
AAUUAAACGCUGGCGGCAUGCCUUACACAUGCAAGUCGAACGGCAGCACGGGGCAACCCGUGGUGGCGAGUGGCGGACGGGUGAGUAAAGCAUCGGAACGUAUCCUGGAGUGGGGGAUAACGUAGCGAAAGUUACGCUAAUACCGCAUAUUCUGUGAGCAGGAAAGCAGGGGAUCGCAAGACCUUGCGCUCUGGGAGCGGCCGAUGUCGGAUUAGCUAGUAGGUGGGUAAAGGCCUACCAAGGCGACGAUCCGUAGCGGGUCUGAGAGGAUGAUCCGCCACACUGGGACUGAGACACGGCCCAGACUCCUACGGGAGGCAGCAGUGGGGAAUUUUGGACAAUGGGCGGAAGCCUGAUCCAGCCAUGCCGCGUGAGUGAAGAAGGCCUCGGUUGUAAG